ensembl:lncRNA
AUUUAUAUUUAGAGUAUCUAUUUGUGGCGAUAUUUAUGGGACAGGCGGCGGCCCCCCUCCCGCCCAUCCUUCCUCCCUCCCCUCUUUCCCUUCCUCCCUCGCCACCGCCUUUCAGCCCCGCGGCUCGGCUCGGCACGGCUCGGCACGGCACAGCUUGGCACGGCUCGGCACGGCUCGGUAUGGCACGGCAAGGCACGGCUCGGCAAGGCACGGCACGGCUCGGCUCAGCUUGGCACGGCUCGGCAAGGCACGGCUCGGCACGGUUCCCUCCGCGGGCCGGGGCGCAGCGAGGGGAGCGCCCCCCCCCACUCCCGGCUCUCCCUGCCCCGCCGGGCCCGGGGCUCGUCUGUCGGCCCGGGGAGGGGGGUCAGUGUGUCUGUCCGUCUGUCUGUCUGUCCGUCUGUCUGUUCGGCUGCUCUGACACCGGGAGGAAAGGCAGAGCGGACUGGGCGAGCUUUGGCCGGGCUGUCUGGGAUCGGCUCCGGCCAAUGCCAAGCGAGGGAGCAGGAUUUCGGGGAGAGGAAGAUGGAGCUGCCAGGGCCGGAACGGACUGCCUCGAAAAUAAACGCACGGAGCGGGGAGACAGAAACCAGUGGCUGUAGAGAUUUGGGAUCAAACUCUCUCCCUUCGAGAAAUCUCAGCGUCCCUUUUUGUAGUCCCACGGGUCAGUCCUGAGGACCUGGUCUGCAAAAGCAAAGCUGCAGAUAAAUAGUGGAAGUGACGACUCCAUUUGCUUCCACAUUUGUUGCGAUGGUAAUUUUUUUUUCUCCUAUUUGAUUUUUUUUUUUCCAAAUAAUUUCAAUGCGCAUCUAAAUCAAAAAAAUCGUUAGCCUUUCUUCCUCCUAAAAUAACCCUCUCGUAUAUCGCUCACACUUCAAUUAAAACGAACGUACAACAUAAGAAGUGUAUCUUUUGUUGUUAUUUUUGUACUUUAAAAUACACCUAUGUAACAAUUAUUUUUUUUCUUCUUCAUGAUCCUUACUGCUGUUUUCUCCACAGACAUAUGUAUUUCAUCUUAUAGUAUUCCAGAUCGAUUUCUUGUUCAAUUUCAGUACUUGAAUUUGCCAGAAAAGGGAUGCUGUACUUAGCUAGUUACUCGGGAAAAUUAUUUCUUUGCUUUGGUUUUAAGUUUCUUUCAUUUCUUUAAACUUUAACACAUGGCGUUUACAAACUGUAUAAAUACGUGCCACCAAACUGUAACCAAAAAAAAAAAAAUUACAAAAAGUGGAAUGGUUGCUGUAGUAUAUAGAAUUAAUUAUAGACCAGAACUGGACAGAAAGAGCUGGACAGAAAGAAAAUAGUAAUUUUAUUGUAAAUUAUUUACGUCUGAAGUUUCUAGGCAACUAGUCGGAAAAAUAAUGAAUGAAUUGAGCGCUGAGCCCUUGCUACUAACUUUUGUUCUGAAUGUUUUGGAUAUUUGGAUGUUUUGUAUUUAUGUGGUGAGAGUGAAAUAUAUUAUAUCUAUAUGAUGACGGAAUUAGGUGUAUUUUCGUCUUAUAUUUGUAGUACCCAACUUACCUUCAUCUAAUACUUGCGCUACCAAGAAAAAAAAAUGCUAUUCCUCCAUAACAACCCUAAUUUUAAAUUUU